rnacentral:rRNA from 1 species
AGUGAACGCUGGCGGUAGGCCUAACACAUGCAAGUCGAACGGCAGCACAGUAAGAGCUUGCUCUUACGGGUGGCGAGUGGCGGACGGGUGAGGAAUACAUCGGAAUCUACUUUUCGUGGGGGAUAACGUAGGGAAACUUACGCUAAUACCGCAUACGACCUACGGGUGAAAGCAGGGGAUCUUCGGACCUUGCGCGAUUGAAUGAGCCGAUGUCGGAUUAGCUAGUUGGCGGGGUAAAGGCCCACCAAGGCGACGAUCCGUAGCUGGUCUGAGAGGAUGAUCAGCCACACUGGAACUGAGACACGGUCCAGACUCCUACGGGAGGCAGCAGUGGGGAAUAUUGGACAAUGGGCGCAAGCCUGAUCCAGCCAUACCGCGUGGGUGAAGAAGGCCUUCGGGUUGUAAAGCCCUUUUGUUGGGAAAGAAAAGCAGCAGGUUAAUACCCCGCUGUUCUGACGGUACCCAAAGAAUAAGCACCGGCUAACUUCGU